GGAGGUAUGGCUCAAAUGGUAGAGUAUCUGCCUAGCAAGAAUGAGGCCCUGAGUUCAAACCCCAGUAACUCAA
rnacentral:tRNA from 1 species